AGCCAGCCGAGUAUGGACUGAAACCUCCACAAACUUUUUUGCAGGUCAGAAGUUCAUGCUGGAUUUGCUGCUCAGAAACUCAUCAAACUGAAAUCAAUUUGUUGGCGAAGCCUGCAGUUCUCUCAUGGGUCUUGAUUCUCUUCCAAGCUCACAGGUCUAGAGAUGAAAUCACAGUCCAAGGUGGGCAAAUGAAAUGAAAUUAAAGAUAUUUUUUUCAACUACCAAAAAGAAGGAGAAGGAGGAGGAGGAGGAGGAGGAGGAGGAGGAGAAGACGACUUCUAUUAGUUUUGUCAAGAAAAUAUGGUGGUGAAUUCUAGAGCCCUUAAGACUUAGCUGUACAGAAAUGCCCAGGAGUGGAGCCUACUCAGAAUAAAGAAAUGCUGAGAGGAAGAGAGACGAAGAUUGAGAACAUCAGAGCAUCACUUUUGACAUAUAUGAGCCAAUAAAAUCUUUUUUACAGAUUUAUAUUCUAUGAAUUGCUUUCAGUUCCAGACUUUCCACAUUCCUCACCAGCUUGGUUGUCAUUAUGAACACUUUUCACUAAGGUAAUAUUAAAGGAGGAUGUAUCCAAUUAAUACCCACAUUAUUAACGUGGUGAAUAAUAGGUGAACAGAAACCAGAUAGUUUAAUGGGAGAUGAGAUGGGUUAAAGUCAAGAUAAUAUUUGAAAACCUUCAAGGCCAUGUGAAAAAUUGUAAACUUUAAAUGGCACCCACAAAAUCACAUUAAAGUUUGUUGAAGGAAAGUGACAUGAAACAACCUCUUUUUUUACUUAAAGUAAAAGUAUUUAGCAGUACAGGGAAAACUAUCUUUAACAACAAGAUACUUGAGGGAGGGCAAAGAGUUAUCAGGUAAUGAAAGAGAGGAGCUGAGAAAAGAUGAAGCUGGUGUGUAGCAUUUUAUAAAAGAAAUAAUGGAAAUGCUGGUAAAAAUUGCAGAAUUUCACAACUGAUUAGUCAUGGGAAUAAUCAAAUAAAAAUGUGGGGCUCUGAGCCAUAAUGUUUUACAAAAUUUCCCUUUCUCCUCUGUAUUAUAUUAUUCCACUAACUGGUUCUCUAUAAAACUUCUACCUAUUUGUAUUUAAGGAAGCUAUUGAGCUUAUUCUCAUAUUCUCUGAAUUACUUUUCACUGCACCAUUGUUAGAGUAAAUUUAGAUUUGCAUUAUAUCUGCACUUUAAUUUUUACUUAUUUGUAUGGGUGAAAAGAAAAAUGUUCUUUGCUUUUAUAAAACUAUAUAGCAAUUUUAUUUUUGCCCUGAUACCAUAAAUAGUCUUUUUCUUAGAAAAUAUUAGUGUAAAGCACCCUAAAAGAGGGAACCUUAAACAGUCACUAAAUACAAUAUGCAUGGGUUUCCUGAUCUAGGAAUUCAGACCGAAUACACAAGAAGGAUUGUCUGCUGUGCCACUCCUGCGGCCUCAGCUAGAAGACUGCGUGUGAUGAUUUCACUGUCCAAGGAACUGGCAUCAACUGGGGGUAUCUGGAAUUUAGGCAAGGAACUUCUCACUUUGACUCUAAUAUGCAGGAUCUCACAGCUCCAAAAGUUAGUACAGGAACAAUGGAAAGAAAGCCCAGAAAAUGGUCAGAAGGCCCACAAAAAAACACCAGAAAGUCUUAGAAGGAAGAGGAUACACAAAUGAGAAAUAGAAAACAGAAACAUGCAAACAAUUCCCUGUGGUAACCUCUCCUGCUUCUGAGACAGAUGUCAUAGUUGUCUUCAAUUCUCACCCUUUCCUGGGACCACGCCCUUGCUGUGGCUGUAUGAGGACUGCAUAUUUCCUGCCUCUUGACCUUAAGCUGCAUCACCUGGCUUGCUUUAGCCAAUGAGGAUGAAGGGAAAGUGUGUCAAGUACACGUCACACAAACCCUUCUCUGUUUCUGACACUCUUGAGCUUUGUUAUUGCCUGGAGAAGACAGCUGUGUCAACCUUUCCACAGACCUGCUAUGAGGGGUGCAGCAACCUCGUCCCAUGGGCUAGUGCAGAGCUGCUCACUUGCUGAAAAUUCUUCGGGAAUAUCUGAUGUAAUAAAUGAAUCCUGUUUUAAAA